rnacentral:rRNA from 1 species
CCUACGGGUGGCAGCAGUGAGGAAUAUUGGUCAAUGGACGAGAGUCUGAACCAGCCAAGUAGCGUGAAGGAUGACUGCCCUCUGGGUUGUAAACUUCUUUUAUAUGGGAAUAAAAUGUUCCACGUGUGGGAUUUUGUAUGUACCAUAUGAAUAAGGAUCGGCUAACUCCGUGCCAGCAGCCGCGGUAAUACGGAGGAUCCGAGCGUUAUCCGGAUUUAUUGGGUUUAAAGGGAGCGUAGGUGGAUUGUUAAGUCAGUUGUGAAAGUUUGCGGCUCAACCGUAAAAUUGCAGUUGAAACUGGCAGUCUUGAGUACAGUAGAGGUGGGCAGAAUUCGUGGUGUAGCGGUGAAAUGCUUAGAUAUCACGAAGAACUCCGAUUGCGAAGGCAGUUCACUGGACUGCAACUGACACUGAGGCUCGAAAGUGUGGGUAUCAAACAGGAUUAGAUACCCGGGUAGUC